rnacentral:rRNA from 1 species
UACGUAGGGUGCGAGCGUUGUCCGGAAUCACUGGGCGUAAAGCGCACGUAGGCGGAUUGCUAAGUCAGGGGUGAAAUCCUGGAGCUCAACUCCAGAACUGCCUUUGAUACUGGCGAUCUUGAGUCCGGGAGAGGUGAGUGGAACUGCGAGUGUAGAGGUGAAAUUCGUAGAUAUUCGCAAGAACACCAGUGGCGAAGGCGGCUCACUGGCCCGGUACUGACGCUGAGGUGCGAAAGCGUGGGGAGCGAACAGG